CAACUCUCCGUUAACCUCGUGUUGCUACAGGACGGACUGUGUGUUGAUGAUGGCUUGAUUGACCUCUGUCAUGUUAUUACACCAUCUGAUGCCAUCGCCAGCUGACGCUCAUGAAAUCCGCCGAAGCAUGCCGGCCAUGCCAUCACUGCCCUUUGUACGUGUCCCAACACUCCCCGAAUAUACUCACCCUGGACGACGUCCCGCAGAUGCCUCGUUUGGAUCGCGUCAGAGGAGAACGGAGGGUGUGACAGGCCAGGUUUAUAAUCCACUCCUGGCCCGGGCCACUUCACACCUCGGUGAGCACCGUGGACUCCCGCUGAGUUUGGAUGGGAUUCAAUGACCAACCCUUUACAGGGCACACCAGAGACCUACACACCUGCUACCCAAACCAAAUAACUCCUCCAGCGCUCUGCUGUCCCGUCUCUUUGUCCUGCAGGUGUCCGUUCCACGAGUCAAAAGCUAUAAAAUCUCUCAAGACCUGGGUAUAAAAUCAACAAAGCAUCAGACACAACAUAACUGUGCAGUCUGCUUGAAUGUUUUUCAUUCUAUCAUCACGUUAUACACCCACGAUGACAGGACGGCCAGAAUAACAG